UUGGGCGUAAGCGCGCGCAGGCGGUUUCUUAAGUCUGAUGUGAAAGCCCACGGCUCAACCGUGGAGGGUCAUUGGAAACUGGGGAACUUGAGUGCAGAAGAGAAAAGCGGAAUUCCACGUGUAGCGGUGAAAUGCGUAGAGAUGUGGAGGAACACCAGUGGCGAAGGCGGCUUUUUGGUCUGUAACUGACGCUGAGGCGCGAAAGCGUGGGGAGCAAACAGGAUUAGAUACCCUGGUAGUCCACGCCGUAAACGAUGAGUGCUAAGUGUUAGAGGGUUUCCGCCCUUUAGGGCUGCAGCUAACGCAUUAAGCACUCCGCCUGGGGAGUACGGUCGCAAGACUGAAACUCAAAGGAAUUGACGGGGGCCCGCACAACCGGUGGAGCAUGUGGUUUAAUUCGAACCAACGCGAAGAACCUUACCAGGUCUUGACAUCC
rnacentral:rRNA from 2 species